GAGUUUGAUCCUGGCUCAGAACGAACGCUGGCGGCAGGCCUAACACAUGCAAGUCGAACGGGAUCUUCGGAUCUAGUGGCGGACGGGUGAGUAACGCGUGGGAACGUGCCCUUUGGUUCGGAAUAGCCCUGGGAAACUGGGAGUAAUACCGGAUACGGUCGAGAGACGAAAGAUUUAUCGCCGAAGGAUCGGCCCGCGUUGGAUUAGGUAGUUGGUGGGGUAAUGGCCUACCAAGCCGACGAUCCAUAGCUGGUUUGAAAGGAUGAUCAGCCACACUGGGACUGAGACACGGCCCAGACUCCUACGGGAGGCAGC
rnacentral:rRNA from 1 species